rfam:Gossypium raimondii Chr06_contig_916, whole genome shotgun sequence.
CACGUCAGAGCGCUUUGCUGACAUGCCAACAAAUCGUGCCUUCUAGGACGCGAUUUGCUGCCACGUCAGCAAAGUGCGUUGAUGUGG